rnacentral:rRNA from 1 species
GCCACUGCACUCUGGGAUAAGCCUGGGAAACUGGGUCUAAUACCGGAUAGGACCAUGCUUUAGUGUGUGUGGUGGAAAGUUUUUUCGGUGUAGGAUGAGCCCGCGGCCUAUCAGCUUGUUGGUGGGGUAAUGGCCUACCAAGGCGGCGACGGGUAGCCGGACUGAGAGGUUGGUCGGCCACAUUGGGACUGAGAUACGGCCCAG